CCUACGGGGGGCAGCAGUGGGGAAUAUUGCACAAUGGGGGAAACCCUGAUGCAGCGACGCCGCGUGAGCGAUGAAGUAUUUCGGUAUGUAAAGCUCUAUCAGCAGGGAAGAAAAUGACGGUACCUGACUAAGAAGCACCGGCUAACUCCGUGCCAGCAGCUGCGGUAAUACGUAGGGGGCAAGCGUUAUCCGGAUUUACUGGGUGUAAAGGGAGCGUAGACGGCGAAGCAAGCCAGAUAUGAAAGCCCGGGGCUCAACCACGGGACUGCAUUUGGAACUGUAUAGCUGGAGUGUCGGAGAGGCAG
rnacentral:rRNA from 1 species